rnacentral:misc_RNA from 1 species
AGCAGCCGCGGUAAUUCCAGCUCCAAUAGCGUAUAUUAAAGUUGUUGCAGUUAAAAAGCUCGUAGUUGAAUUUCGGGAUCAAUAUGUUGGUCGUGCCUCGGUACGUACUAGCUUAUUGGUUUCUCCUUUCUGAAGAACCAUGAUGUCAUUUAUUUGGUGUCGUGGGGAAUCAGGACUGUUACUUUGAAAAAAUUAGAGUGUUUAAAGCAGGCUCACGCUUGAAUACAUUAGCAUGGAAUAAUGAAAUAGGACGUUUGAUUCUAUUUUGUUGGUUUCUAGGAUCGACGUAAUGAUUAAUAGGGAUAGUUGGGGGCAUUAGUAUUCAAUUGUCAGAGGUGAAAUUCUUGGAUUUAUUGAAGACUAACUACUGCGAAAGCAUUUGCCAAGGAUGUUUUCAUUAAUCAAGAACGAAAGUUAGGGGAUCGAAGACGAUCAGAUACCGUCGUAGUCUUAACCAUAAACUAUGCCGACUAGGAAUCAGACGAUGUUAAUUUUUUUCAAUGACUC